rnacentral:rRNA from 1 species
AGGGAAUCUUCCACAAUGGACGCAAGUCUGAUGGAGCAACGCCGCGUGAGUGAAGAAGGUUUUCGGACCGUAAAGCUCUGUUGUUGGUGAAGAAGGAUAGAGGUAGUAACUGGCCUUUAUUUGACGGUAAUCAACCAGAAAGUCACGGCUAACUACGUGCCAGCAGCCGCGGUAAUACGUAGGUGGCAAGCGUUGUCCGGAUUUAUUGGGCGUAAAGCGAGCGCAGGCGGAAGAAUAAGUCUGAUGUGAAAGCCCUCGGCUUAACCGAGGAAUUGCAUCGGAAACUGUUUUCUUGAGUGCAGAAGAGGAGAGUAGAACUCCAUGUGUAGCGGUGGAAUGCGUAGAUAUAUGGAAGAAUACCAGUGGCGAAGGCGGCUCUCUGGUCUGCAACUGACGCUGAGGCUCGAAAGCAUGGGUAGCGAACAGGAUUAGAUACCCUUGGUAGUCCAUGCCGU